rnacentral:rRNA from 1 species
GACGAACGCUGGCGGCGUGCCUAAUACAUGCAAGUCGAACGCAGUGGGGACGGGUGAGUAACACGUGGGUAACCUCCCAUCAGAGGGGAUAACACUUGGAAACAGGUGCUAAACCUAUAUUGAUGGAUGGACCCGCGGUGUAUUAGCUAGUUGGUGAGGUAACGGCUCACCAAGGCCACGAUGCAUAGCCGACCUGGGAGGGGGAUCGGCCACACUGGAACUGAGAAACGGCCCAGACUCCUACGGGAGGCAGCAGUAGGGAAUCUUCGGCAAUGGACGAAAGACUGACCGAGCAACGCCGCGUGAGUGAAGAAGGGUUUCGGAUCGUAAAACUCUGUUAUUAGAGAAGCGGUAUCUAACCAGAAAGCCACGGCUAACUACGUGCCAGCAGCCGCGGUAAUUC